GACGAACGCUGGCGGCGUGCUUAACACAUGCGAGUCGAACGGAAAGGCCCUGCUUUUGUGGGGUGCUCGAGUGGCGAACGGGUGAGUAACACGUGUGUAACCUGCCCUUGACUUUGGGAUAACUUCAGGAAACUGGGGCUAAUACCGGAUAGGAGCUCCUGCUGCAUGGUGGGGGUUGGAAAGUUUCGGCGGUUGGGGAUGGACUCGCGGCUUAUCAGCUUGUUGGUGGGGUAGUGGCUUACCAAGGCUUUGACGGGUAGCCGGCCUGGGAGGGUGACCGGCCCCAUUGGGCCUGGGAUGCGGCCCGGACCCCUCCGGGGGGGAGGAGGGGGAGAUUUUCCCCAAUGGGCGGAGGCCUGGUGCAGCAACGCCGCGUGGGGGAUGGCGGCCUUCGGGUUGUAACCCGCUUUCGCCUGUGACGAAGCGUGGGGAACGGUAAUGGGAAAAAAACCACCGGCUAACCCCGG
rnacentral:rRNA from 1 species